CCUACGGGUGGCUGCAGUGGGGAAUAUUGGACAAUGGGGGGAACCCUGAUCCAGCCAUGCCGCGUGUGUGAAGAAGGCCUUAUGGUUGUAAAGCACUUUAAGCGAGGAGGAGGCUCUUCUAGUUAAUACCUAGGAUGAGUGGACGUUACUCGCAGAAUAAGCACCGGCUAACUCUGUGCCAGCAGCCGCGGUAAUACAGAGGGUGCGAGCGUUAAUCGGAUUUACUGGGCGUAAAGCGUGCGUAGGCGGCUUUUUAAGUCGGAUGUGAAAUCCCCGAGCUUAACUUGGGAAUUGCAUUCGAUACUGGGAAGCUAGAGUAUGGGAGAGGAUGGUAGAAUUCCAGGUGUAGCGGUGAAAUGCGUAGAGAUCUGGAGGAAUACCGAUGGCGAAGGCAGCCAUCUGGCCUAAUACUGACGCUGAGGUACGAAAGCAUGGGGAGCAAACAGGAUUAGAUACCCCAGUAGUC
rnacentral:rRNA from 1 species